rnacentral:lncRNA from 1 species
GCUGGUACGGAGAAUUCAGGAUAUGAAUAAUAUAGGGACGAAAUCAAAAUAUUCUACAAUUGUAGGUACUUAUCUCCAUGUGAGUCUGUCUGGAGAAUUUUUGGAUUGACAUUAACUACAGAGAACCCCCAGUUGAAAGUCUAUCAUUUCAUUUGUCAGACCAAUAGAUAGCGAUUUUUCUUGAUGAUGAGCCGAUUGAUUCUGUUGUUCAGUGUA